rnacentral:rRNA from 1 species
CAAUACGAGCGGCAGACGGGUGAGUAACGCGUGGGAAUCUACCCAUCUCUACGGAACAACUCCGGGAAACUGGAGCUAAUACCGUAUACGUCCUUUUGGAGAAAGAUUUAUCGGAGAUGGAUGAGCCCGCGUUGGAUUAGCUAGUUGGCGGGGUAAUGGCCUACCAAGGCGACGAUCCAUAGCUGGUCUGAGAGGAUGAUCAGCCACACUGGGACUGAGACACGGCCCAGACUCCUACGGGAGGCAGCAGCU